rnacentral:rRNA from 1 species
CCGUCAUCUUAUACUUGGGAGUCAGACUGUGGGUGAUAAGAUUCAUAGUCGAAAGGGCAACAGCCCAGAUCGUCAGCUAAGGUCCCUAAAUGUAAGUUAAGGGGUAAAGGAUGUGGGAUUGCACAGACAACCAGGAUGUUGGCUUAGAAGCAGCCACUCAUUCAAAGAGGGCGUAAUAGCUCACUGGUCGAGUGAUCCUGCGCCGAAGAUUUCCGGGGCUAAAACUUACUACCGAAGCUACGGCAUC